CCUACGGGAGGCAGCAGUGGGGAAUAUUGCGCAAUGGGCGAAAGCCUGACGCAGCGACGCCGCGUGAGGGAUGAAGGUCUUCGGAUCGUAAACCUCUGUCAGCAGGGAAGAACGGUCACUGUGCGAAUCAGCAGUGAAUUGACGUUACCUGCAAAGGAAGCACCGGCUAACCCCGUCCCAGCAGCCCCGGUAAUCCGGAGGGUGAGAGCGUUAAUCGGAAUUACUGGGAGUAAAGGGUGCCCAGGCGGUCCUGCAAGUCUGGAGGGAAACGCAUGGGCUCAACUCAUGCAUGGCUGUGGAAACUGGAGGACUGGAGAGCAGGAGAGGGCGGUGGAACUCCAUGUGUAGCGGUAAAAUGCGUAGAUAUAUGGAAGAACACCAGUGGCGAAGGCGGCCGCCUGGCCUGUUGCUGACGCUGAGGCACGAAAGCGUGGGGAGCAAAUAGGAUUAGAUACCCGAGUAGUC
rnacentral:rRNA from 1 species